rnacentral:misc_RNA from 1 species
UGGUUCUGGCAUCGAUGAAGAACGCAGCGAAAUGCGAUAAGUAGUGUGAAUUGCAGAAUUCAGUGAAUCAUCGAAUCUUUGAACGCACAUUGCGCCCUUUGGUAUUCCUUAGGGCAUGCCUGUUCGAGCGUCAUUUCAACCCUCAAGCCUAGCUUGGUGUUGGGCGUCUGUCCCGCCUCCGCGCGCCUGGACUCGCCUCAAAAGCAUUGGCGGCCGGUUCCCAGCAGGCCACGAGCGCAGCAGAGCAAGCGCUGAAGUGGCUGCGGGUCGGCGCACCAUGAGCCCCCCCACAUCAGAAUUUUGACCUCGGAUCAGGUAGGGAUACCCGCUGA